CCUACGGGGGGCUGCAGUGGGGAAUAUUGGACAAUGGGGGGAACCCUGAUCCAGCCAUGCCGCGUGUGUGAAGAAGGCCCUCGGGUUGUAAAGCACUUUCAGUGAGGAAGAACGCCUGGUGGUUAAUACCCAUCAGGAAAGACAUCACUCACAGAAGAAGCACCGGCUAACUCCGUGCCAGCAGCCGCGGUAAUACGGAGGGUGCGAGCGUUAAUCGGAAUUACUGGGCGUAAAGCGCGCGUAGGUGGCUUGAUAAGCCGGUUGUGAAAGCCCCGGGCUCAACCUGGGAACGGCAUCCGGAACUGUCAAGCUAGAGUGCAGGAGAGGAAGGUAGAAUUCCCGGUGUAGCGGUGAAAUGCGUAGAGAUCGGGAGGAAUACCAGUGGCGAAGGCGGCCUUCUGGACUGACACUGACACUGAGGUGCGAAGGCGUGGGUAGCAAACAGGAUUAGAUACCCUAGUAGUC
rnacentral:rRNA from 1 species